UAAAAAACCAAAUCGCAAACUGAAAUUUCACCCUAAAUAAGUGCAUUAUAUAUUUAUAUAGGUUAAAUUUUACAGUUGUUGAUUGAUUUGGGGCCCUCAUCCUAUUCAGGUAUCUGAAUCUUGAAAUUUAAGUUCUUGUUUCGGAUUUUUGGGGUUCUGGGUCUGCUCUACAAUUUUCUUCUUCGAUUUGAAGGUUGAGGGGCUUCUAUGGCUGAUUCUGAAAAGAACUUAAAGCUGGGUUUUGGUUUCUUCACCUAUCAAUGAAUCUACCUUUUUCGGCAUUGUUGUUGGGUUCGUUGUUAGGGUUUCCUCUCUACUUCAUCAUCCUUCAAUGUCAAGCAAAUUAUUUGAAAUUCCUUUAUGAUUCACACUAUCUCAAUGAGGUUUAUUGAUUUCCAUCUCAUAAGAACUGAAGAACAACUUGGUCAAGAAUAAAGUCUUCUGCACUAUAUGUCCUCUUGCAAAGCCGAGAAGAAAUACAUAUCCGUUAUCUUUGAGCAGAACUAAACAACCUCUAAAACUUCACCAUGUAGACAUUUGGGGACCUUCUAGGUAUCCAUCUAGGUUGAAUUGUAAGAUGUUCAUCACCAUUGUAGAAGAUUUUAGUAGAAUGUGUUGGGUUUUCUAAUAAAGAACAAAAUAAGAAUUCCCUAAAUUCUUUAUGUUGUUUGUACUAAUUCAGAUAUAGACACAACUAGCCUUGAAAUCCAAGAUUACAACAUAUAUAGUACUAAUUCUUUACAAGUAUACAUGUCUGAGUAUGUUGAUAUUCAAGAAACGGAUGUACCUUCAGAUAUAGAGAGCAACAGAACCAUUGACAUUAACAACAAUGAAUAUAACAACUUGAUACCUCAACAAAGAAAGUCUGAGAGAAUCAGAAAGCUACCCAAACACUAAAAAAUUUAUCAUUGUUGUGAAUGUUUGCCAAAACCGUUACGAUGAUAAGAACAAUUCAAACAACAAUGAACAAAACAAUGUUUGACAAUGUAAACAAAACAAAAGAGACACAAGGAUUUAAGGAGGUUCACCCAAUGAUGGCUACGUCCUCCGUGGUGUGUAGGUUCUGUUUAUAUUAUAACAAAAGAGUAUAAACAACACUUCUAAAUGAAGAAUUACAAUUGAGUAAGAGAUAAAAAACAAAAGGCUAUGUGUUUGGCUUAGAGGUUGUGUUUGAUGUGUUUGAUGUGUGAGUAUGAGAGCUCUAUAUAUAGUACUAGGUACAUGAAUAUCAAUAACUCACUUGAAUACAUAGUUAAUAUAGAGUAUUGAAUAAUAUGAAAUAACUCCAAGGACUUGAAAGGUCGAAAAACAGCAUCCCAUGCACAUCAGAGGAUCCGCUCGACCGAAACAGGGAGCUCGCUCGGUCGAGCGGCUCGAUCGAGUGAGCAUCAGCUACAUUCUGGAGCAUUCUGUCUGACCGUUCGACCUACCAAUAUAGCUCGCUCGGUCGAGCGGGUAGGUCGAGUGACCUCUCUGCUACCUCUGUCAGAAUUCUGAUCGAGCUACCAUAAAAUCAAGUCCUUUCUACUUCUUCAUUAAUCUUCAUUAACACCUAUAAUUCCUCAUGAAUACUCUCCACAUAAUUACUCCCUUUUGGAUUCCAUAAACCAAGAGUCAGACACAUGAAUACACACUUUAAUUGUGCAUUCAAGUCACACAUACCAUUCAUAACAAUCUCCACCUUGACUUGAGUUCAUCCAAGUCAAAACAUUGAUCAAUCCACUUCAUAAACAAAAGAAAAAAACAUACACACCUCAAAUGCCCCAAAAGGCAUUAUCUCAAGCAAGGAGCUAGACCAACCAAGUCAACACAUAAUUCAAACUUGGUUGUAGGUAAUGACUUUGUCAUCAUGUCGGCCGGAUUCUCCGUAGUGUCAAUCUUCUUCAAUAACACCCUUUUGUGCUUAACUUCAUCCCGGAUGAAAUUAUACUUAAUAUCAAUGUGUUUGGACCUUCUAUGAAAUGUAUUUUGAUUCCUAGCCAAAUGAAUUGCACUUUGACUAUCACAAUGCACACUUACCUCACACACCUUAUUGCACAUUUCACCGACAAGACCUUUAAGCCAUUUUGCCUCCUUGAAUGACUCGGCCACGGCUAUGUACUCCGCUUUGGUUGUUGAAAGAGCAACCACAUCUUGCAAAGAUGAUUGCCAACUUAUUGCCGAACCACUAAAAAUAAACACGAACCCACUUGUGGACUUUCUAUUAUAUAUAUCACCACCAUAGUCCGAGUCACAAAACCCGGUUAGCUCGCUUGAAUUUUUCCCAUACAUAAGACAAACAUUAGAAGUAUCUUUCAAGUACCUCAAUAACCAUUUUAGUGCCUCCUAAUGUCCCUUCCCUGGAUUAGACAUAUAUCUACUCACCAAACUCACCGCAUGAGCAAUGUCGGGUCUAAAAUAUACCAUGGCAUACAUAACACUACCAACGGCACUAGUGUAUGGGAUUCUUACCAUUUGCUCUUCUUCUGCCUUUGUUUGUGGACACAAUUUCUUGGACAAUUUGAAAUGAGAAGCAAGAGGAGUAGAUACACCUUUAGCAUCAUCCAUAGAGAAACGUUGCACAACUUUCUCAAUAUACUUUCUUUGACUAAGGUAUAGGAUAUCCUUAGCCUGAUCUCUCAAAAUUUCCAUCCCAAGAAUCUUCUUGGCUUCACCAAGAUCUUUCAUGUCAAAUUCACUUGAAAGUAACUCUUUCAAGUUCUCCACCUUAAACAAAGAACUACAUGCUACUAGCAUGUCAUCAACAUAUAAGAGCAAAUAUAACAAAGAACCAUCUUCAAAUUUCUUAAGAUAGACACAACUAUCAUAAAAACUUCUAAUAAAAUCAAGUGAGAUCAUAAAGGAAUCAAACCUUUUGUACCAUUGCCUUGGAGAUUGCUUCAACCCAUACAAUGACCUCUUUAAUCUACAUACAUGAUUUUCCUUACCGGCUACCUCAAAACCUUCCGGUUGCUUCAUAAAGAUCUUCUUUUCAAGCUCACCGUGAAGAAACGCCGUUUUUACAUCCAAUUGAUGUAACUCCAAAUCCUCCAUUGCCACCAAAGCAAGUAAUGCCCUUAUAGAAGAGUGUUUCACCACCGGUGAGAAAACUUCAUGAAAAUCAACACCCUCAAUUUGAGAGUAUCCCUUUGCAACUACCCUUGCUUUGUAGAUGGGAGGAAUGUCACUAGAAGGACCCUCCUUCCUCUUGAAUAUCCACUUGCACCCAAUAAUUUUCUUUUUCUUUGGUGCUUCAACGAUAUUCCAAGUUUCAUUAUUUGCAAGAGACUCCAUCUCUUACUUCAUAGCUAUCAACCACUUGCUUGAGUCUUUUAAGACCAUAGCCUCCUUGUACGUACUCGGUUCAUGUAACCCUUCGACUUUGCUAGUAAUGUUGAGAGCAUAGGCAACAUAAUCACAUUCCUCAAUAUACCUCCUUGGAGCCACGAUCUUCCUUCUUUGUCUAGUUGUGGACAAAGAUGGAGAUCUUUGUUGAUCAUCAUCAUCAAUUUUAUCAUCUUUAAUAUUGGGAGGUUGACCCUCCGCUUGUGCAUCAUCAUUUACAUUAUUAUCAGUGGACUUUUCUAUACUAGAUACAAGCAUGCUAUUUUCAUCAAAAACAACAUCUCUAGAAACAAUUACUCUUUUUGAUUCAUUACACCACACCCUAUACCCCUUUACACCCACUCCAUAUCCCACAAAAAUACAUUUUCUAGCCCUAGGUUCUAACUUACCAUCAUUUACAUGAAUAUAAGCUGGACAACCAAAGAUUCUAAGACUAGAAUAAUUUACCGGAGUGUUGUACCACACUUCUUGUGGCGACUUGAAUUUCAAGGCGGUAUAAGGUGAGCGGUUGAUCAAAUAACAUGCCGUAGCCACCGCUUCGGCCCAAAAUUGCUUCCCCAAACUUGCUUGAUUUAGCAUACUCCUAGCCCUCUCCAAUAAUGUUUUAUUCAUCCUCUCUGCAACACCAUUUUGUUGAGGACGUCUUGCACAAGUUCUAUGUCUGACAAUGCCUUCAUUAGAACAAUAUUUAAGAAAUUUAUUAUCAAUAAAUUCAAGACCAUUAUCGGUUCUUAAAGUCUUGAUGCUCCUACCGAUCUUCUUUUCAAUCAUCUUAUUCCAUUCCAAGAAGACAUCAAAAACUUCAUUCUUAUGUUUUAUAAAAUAACACCAAACUUUCCUAGAUAAAUCAUCAAUAAAGGUCAACAUGUAAUUACAACCACUAAGGGAGGGCUUUCGUUAAGGCCCCCACAAAUCGGAAUGAAUGUAGUCUAAAAUUCCCUUAGUGUUGUGAAUGGCGGGUUUGAAACUAACUCUUUUGUGUUUCCCAUAAACACAAUGUUCACAAAACCCAAGGUUCCCAAAUUUCUUGCCAUCAAAUAAACCUUGUUUAGAGAGUUCAAAAAUACCUCUUUCUCCCAUGUAACCAAGUUUCAAAUGCCAAAUUUGGUGUCAUGAUCGGACAUUGUGCUUGUGGAAACAUUUGCCGAGCCUAGGAUGGUUGAACCUUGAAGAGCAUACAAACUCCCAUUCAACUUACCCUUCAUCACAACUAGUGAGCCUCUAGCAACCUUCAUAACUCCACCUUCACAUGUGAUUCUACACCCGAUCUUGUCAAGAGUACCCAAAGAUAAAUUCUUUUUCAAUCCCGGAACAUACCUCACAUCGGUUAAGGUCCUCACCAUUCCAUCAAACAUCUUCACUUUAAUGCUCCCAAUCCCAACAACCUUACAUAUUGUGUUGUUCCCCAUGGUAACAUUUCCCCCAUCAAUACUUUCAAAUGUAUGGAAGAAAGUUUUGUUGGGAGUCAUGUGGAAUGUGCACCCCGAGUCAAGAAUCCACUCAUCACUAUCUUUGUACUCAUGUGUGGCAACUAAUACAUCACCAUCAUCACUAUCAUUCACAUAACUAGCAUUUGCAUUACUAGUUCCUUCCCUAGCCUCCUCAUUUUUCUUUUUCAACUUCCAACAAUCUUUUUUGAUGUGGCCCUUAAGCUUGCAAUAGUUAAAAGUUUUAUUUUUAUUUGGCCUACUAGACUUGGACCUCCCUUUACCCUUGUUUCCACUCCCACUAGUGGAACCUUUCUCUUAUGACCUCCCUCUCACAAACAACCCAUCACUAGCAUUGCUUUGUGAUUUUUGUGACAAUUGUGAAUCAAUGAGAUCCCUUUGUGUCAAAGCAUUUUCACAUCAUCACUACUCAAAUUAUCUCUACCAUAAGGUAGAGUUUCUCUAAAGUUUUUGUAAGAAGGGGGUAGAGAACAUAAGAGGUAAAUUGCCAAGUCUUCAUCAUCAAGCUUAACAUCAAUAUUUUGUAAAUCCAUAACAAUGGAAUAAAAUUCGUUUAAGUGAGGUUUCAAAGAUUUACCUUCCUCCAAGCGUAGAUCAUAGAGUCUACUUUUCAAAAGUAGUCUAUUAGUAACACUCUUGGCCAUAUAGAGUGAUUCCAAUUUCUCCCAUAUCUCCUUGGUUGUUGUUUCUUUAACAACCUCUCUUAAUACUUCGUUGGAAAGGCAUAGUUGAAUUGCCGACAACGCCUUUGAGUCUAUCUCUUCCCACCUUAAUGCGGUCAUUCCUUCCGGCAUCUUAUCUACACCAUCAAUGGCCUUAUGCACACCAUUUUGGAAUAAAAUGGCUCUCAUUUUGACUUGCCAUAAGCCAAAAUUUACAUUUCUAUCAAACUUCUCUAUGUCAAGCUUCAUUGUAGUCAUGAUUCUCAAAUAACAACUUCUUAAGACACCGUAAAAUCAACCUGGCUCUGAUACCAAUUGUGAAUGUUUGCCAAAACAAUGAUAAGAACAAUUCAAACAACAAUGAACAUAACAAUGUUUGACAAUGUAAACAAAACAAAAGAGACACAAGGAUUUAAGGAGGUUCACCCAAUGAUGGCUACGUCCUCCGUGGUGUGUAGUUUCUGUUUAUAUUAUAUCAAAAGAGUAUAAACAACACUUCUAAAUGAAGAAUUACAAUUGAGUAAGAGAUAAAAAACAAAAGGCUAUGUGUUUGGCUUAGAGGUUGUGUUUGAUGUGUUUGAUAUGUGAGUAUGAGAGCUCUAUAUAUAGUACUAGGUACAUGAAUAUCAAUAGCUCACUUGAAUGCAUAGUUAAUAUGAAAUAACUCCAAGGACUUUAUAGGUCGAAAAACAGCAUCCCAUGCACAUCAGAGGAUACGCUCGACCGAAACAGGGAGCUCGCUCGGUCGAGCGGCUCGAUCGAGCGAGCAUCAACUACAUUCUGGAGCAUUCUGUCUGACCGCUCGACCUACCAAUAUGGCUCGCUCGGUCCAGCGGGUAGGUCGAGCGACCUCUCUGCUACCUCUGUCAGAAUUCUAAUCGAGCUACCAUAAAAUCAAGUCCUUUCUACUUCUUCAUUAACACCCAUAAUUCCUCAUGAAUACUCUCUACAUAAUUACAACCUUUUGGAUUCCAUAAACCAAGAGUCAGACACAUGAAUACACACUUUAAUUGUACACCCAAGUCACACAUACCAUUCAUAACAAUUGUAAAAUCACUAAGCAUUGGUGUGGUCUUGUGCAACACAAGGACGGACAUACAUAAUAAUCACAAUGUCACAACACAAGAGCCUGAAUUUUUUGAACCAAGUUCUUUUAAGCAAGCUAUCACUAUCCCUCACUAGAAGGAGGCAAUCGACAAAGAAAUACAAGCCCUAGAAAACAACAAAACUUGGGACAUAGUGCCUCUACCUAUAGGCAAAAAGGCUAUAGGGUGCAAAGGAUGAAGUAUACAUGCAUUUACCUCAAGGAUAUUCCAGCAACAAAAACAAAGUUAGCAAGCUCAAAACAUCUUUGUAUGGCUUAAAGCAAGCCUCAAGACAAUGGUUUGCAAAACUUAUGCAGAAGUUAAUAAAACAAGAAUAUCACCAACCAUCCUAGCAAUUUAUGUAGAUGACAUAACUUUGACUGGAAAUAACAAACAAGAAAUCCAAGACAUGAAAACACAUCUUAACAAUGUGUUUAGCAUUAAGGAUUUAGGAAAACUACAUUUCUUCCUUGGCAUGGAAGUACAUUACCUACAAGAUGGCAUAGUCCUCUCAACACAAAUUUACAAGGGAUUUACUAAAAGAUUAUAACCAAGAUAGCAACAGAAAAGCAUUGACACCUCUCCCCAUCCAUCUCAAACUUUCUGCCUUAGAAGGUGACUUAUUAGAAGAUCCAACUCCUUACAGGAGCAUAGUAGGAAAACUUAAUUUCUUAACAAACACUAGACCUAAUUUAUCAUAUGCCAUAAAGACCUUGAGCCAAUUCAUGCAGAAACCAAGAAGCUCUCAUCGGCUGGCCCUUCAGCACAUAUUGUUAUUUGUAAACCACACAUGUGGCCAAGGCAUUUUCCUUAAAGCAUCAAAUAAGAUUACCAUCCAAGCUUUUUCAGAUAGUGACCGGGGUUCAUGCAUUGAUACAAGAGCGUCUAUCAUUGACUAUAUUAUCAUGUUUGGGCAGUCACCUAAACAAGGUACUGUGUCUAGGUCUAGCUCUGAAGCAGAAUACAGGACAAUGGCAUCACCGCUGCUGAGAUUACUUGGAUUGUUAGAUUACUUGGAUUGUUAGAUUACUUGAAGAACCGAGCCUAACAAACCUCAGGCCAAUCACACUUCAUUGUGAUAACUAAUCUGUAAUGCACAUAGCCAAAAAUCCUAUCUUUUGUGACAGAUUUAAGAAUAUUGAGGUGGACUGCCACUUCACAAGAGACAGAAUCUUAGAAGGUUUGAUUCAGCUCUCAUAUUUUCCAAUAAGACACCAACUAACUGAUGUUCUAACAAAAAUCCUUCCCUCUUUACAAUUUAAUACUCUCCUUGACAAACUAGGAAUGCAAGCCCUCCAUUCCAAUUUGAGUGAGGAUGAUAAGAAUAGCUAAAAUCUUGUACACAGCAUGAGGUGUCAUUGGUCCAAGUGUUGUCCUCAGUCCAUGUGGUGCCUAGAACAGCUCUACUUCAAAUCUAAGCCUCCAGCACAAGUGGGAUCAACUACCUCAAUAUAGGACAUGUGGGUGCAGCUGGUAUUUGACAAACAAAGAGCACGUGUCUGUAGUAUUGUCCUUAGGUGUUAGUUUGAAAGAAUCAAGAUUAUAGAAGGCUAUCAGUAGGUUGUUAGUAGGGUGCAAUAAAGUUAACAGUUUCUUCAGUGUACCUGCAAUUAUCACCCUUUUAACUCAUUAACCCUUCCUAGCUUCAUUAUCUUUUCUUCUUACAUCCAUCACUUAAAUGAAUAGUGUAGAUAAGCUUCUCGUAUUUUGUACGCUCAUCUUUAUGUUAUUGUUUUGACAUUUAAAGGGUCCUUCCUGCGUUUUUUUUAAUUUCACUAGCGUAGUUUUACUUGAAUUUAUUUACUUGAAUUUAUUGAUUUUACCUGAAUAUGUUUUAAGUUCUUUGUCUCAUUUUUAAUUUGUAUUUUACAAAUUAUUUUGGUAAUUUAUUUGUACUCUUCCUCAUCAUUUGGAUCCAACACUUGUAAUUCGAGUUUCACAUUUUUCAGGAUAAAUUCUUUUUCUCCCUCGUCGAACACCGAUCUUUUGCACAUGAUUUUGUAGUAUUGAAUUUUGGUUGGCUUUAGUUUUUCUUUGCGCCGCCCUUCUAUUCUACGGCUUAAAUUGUUGAUUAGAUUUUGCUUGUUACUUUUAUGACUUAGUUGAGUAUUGAAAAUUUUGCUUAAUUCCUAGGAUUGUAGUUGGCAUUGAGUAUGAGAUUUAAUGUUUUUAGGGGUUUUUUAGGGGUUUUUUUUAUUCAGAUUUGGCUAUAGUUUUUGUUUAGUGCGUUCUUAUUGAUUUUUGAAUUUGCUUUAUUGUUUAGUGUCAUUGUUUUGGUUACUGCAUUUAAUUUCAUUGGAUUUUUUGUGCUAAUAAAUAAAUAUGCUUAAUUAGCUUUGAUUUUCCUGUUUGUUUUGAGAUUUAAUUGGUUUGUUGAUUGAUUUA